GAUGCCAGUCCAUCUGCCCUGUGCUUUUGGCGGUGUCUUCCCUAAUACUGUUGCGAACUGUCCGGAUAUUCAAUGAUAAUUCAUUGAGAAAAGAGAAGGGACCAAACAGGAACUCUUACCACUUCCUAGCAACACUGGAAGCAGCACUUGCAUUCUCUGCUGCCCCUCUGGAGGCAGUGACCUGAACCCACUUGAGGCCAGGCCCUUCACCUGGAUCCCAUGCCUAUCUCCUGGAGGUGAGUGACUGCCAGCUGGAGAACUCAGUAGCCUGAGAAAAGCUGCUGGGGGCCAGAGCGCCCCCGCGUGUCUUGUCUUGAUGGGACGAAAAUUUUGCCUACCCUCCAAGAUGUUCCUGGACUAGUCAGACAUGAACACGUACCCAGGCUUGCCCCAUAACUCCUGAAAGACAUCACAAGCUCUGGCCAGUGUGAAAAUGCUAUUCAUACCAUCCCACAAGGGAGCACCCAGGCACAAGGGCUGGAAUCUGAAGAAUCUCAACUACGAGCAAGAGCACCAAAUGCCUAUGUUCACCACUGUGGGGAGGAACCUCUGAUUUUGACUGCAGGAAGAUUGUACCACCUGUCUGCUUCUGAAAAUACUUCUAUCCUAUGCCUAGUUUUAGGUUUGGUUUAGUCAUUCACUCAGGAAAUAUCUUCUUGCCACCUUUCAAACAUUGCUUAUAAUUUCUUAUCUUCAGGAGAAACUUCCUUAUUUUUUAGGAUGCUUAUUCAUUAAUUAAUUUUUAAACUUUGACAUUUCACCAUUUUAUUAAAGAUUUUGUUGCAUUUAUUUUUACAACUAACUCCUUUUAGUCUGAGAUAGCAGCUAUAGAAAACAGCAAGCAGUUUAAAGUUCAAUAUUAAAUGUUGGCCUGAUAAUGAAAUCGCCUUUAACUAUUACAUUUUACCUUAUGCUUUUUUUUUAAAGGUUUUAUUUAUUUAUUUGAGAGAGAGAGAAUGAGAGAGAGAGAGCACAUGAGAGGGGGGAGGGUCAGAGGGAGAAGCAGACCCCCUGCUGAGCAAGGAGCCCGACAUGGGACUCGAUCCCGGGACUCCAGGAUCAUGACCUGAGCCGAAGGCAGUCGCUUAACCAACUGAGCCACCCGGGCGCCCACAUUUUACCUUAUUCUUAUGCCAGCUUCUGACUGAAUAUUUUCUCUGUAUAUAUUUAUCCACAAGAAUAAACUUAAUUCAUUAGCUCUUGGAAGUUUAAAACGUAAAGGUAAAGGAGGAAUAUUUAUCAUCAACACCCCACAUCCUGCCUCCCCUCCUGAAAUGUGGGAGAAAUGUCCCUGCUCCAUGGAAAUCCCACCCCUCCACUGGAGCUUAGCUUCCCUCUCCUCUUUGCUUCCUCAAGAACAGCACUCUAGCAGUUCUCCUUUCCCCAGUAUCUUUGGUUUCUUCCUCACUACCGAAUUAUUUCCAGUUGCCUAAACUUGGCAACUCCUUGCCUUGGGUUUCCUCAUCUUCUUCAACCUCAAAUUGUUCCUUGGAAAUAAGUUUUUUCUUUCAAGACAAGUCUCCAAAGGCAAGGGAAACAAAAGCAAAAAUGAACUAUUGGGACUUCAUCAUGAUAAAAAGCUUCUGCACAGCAAAGGAAACAAUCAACAAAACUAUAAGGCAACCUACAAAAUGGGAGAAGAUAUUUGCAAAUGACAUAUCUGAUAAAGGUAUGGUAUCCAAGAUCUAUAAAGAACUUCUCAAACUCAACACCCAAAAAACAAAUAAUCAAGUCAAAAUAUGGGCAGAAGAUAGGAACAGACACGUCUCCAAAGAAGACAUACAAAUGGCUAACAGACACAUGAAAAAAUAUCCAACAUCAUUAGCCAUCAGGGAAAUUCAAAUCAAAACAACAUUGUUACACCAGUCAGAAUGGCAAACAUUAACAAGGCAGGAAACAACAAAUGUUGUCGUGGAUGUGGAGAAAGGGAAACCUUCUUACACUGUUGGUGAGAAUGCAAGCUGGUACAGCCACUCUAGAAAACAAUAUGGAGAUUUCUCAGGAAGUUAAAAAUAGUUACCCUAUGACCCAGCAAUGCACUACUAGGUCCCCAAAGAUACAGAUGUAGUGAAAAGAAGGGCCACAUGCACCCCAAUGUUCAAAGCAGCAAUGUCCACAAUAGCUAAACUAUGGAAGGGGCUGAGAUGUCCUUCAACAGAUGAAUGGAUAAAGAAGAUGUGGUUCAUAUAUACAAUGGAAUAUUACUCAGCCAUCAGAAAGGAUGAAUACCCACCAUUUGCAUUGACAUGGCUGGAACUGGAAGGGAUUAUGCUAAGUGAAAUAAAUCAAGCAGAGAAAGACAAUUAUCAUAUGGUUUCACUCAUAUGUGGAACAUAAGGAAUAGCAUGGAGGACAUUAGGAGAAGGGAGAGAAAACUGAAAGGGGGGGGAAGGUCAGA